AUGACAGCCAAAGGUGUCUCCUCACCACCGGCAGAGCAAUCAUUCUCCAGACGUCAGGCAGACAUUUUCACAGCUCUCCCCACACUAGAGAUUUCUAGUUCUCCUGAAGACCCAGGUGACCGUCUCUACCAAGAGAAUGAAGAGCGCUGGACCAGAUACCACAGGACAUUCCUGAUGCCUGAGACACAGUCCCUUUCUUCAAAAUACUAUCUAAGUGUAGGAAAGAGGAACAUGCAGAGAACACAUGGAGAAAAGCCACCAGAAAGUUCCAGGGAAGAUGUUAUGAAAGUCUGGGGAAGACAGAACUUAUUUCACUUGGUUAAGCAGACGAAAGCCAUGUGA
rnacentral:lncRNA from 1 species